AACUGCAGCGAAUAAGUUACCCCAUUGCUACGUGUUUGACAUUUUUACUGAUAAAGUGGAACAGUUCGACUUCACUCUUCAGUCUUCGGUGCAGAAAACAGUCUUUCCAGGUUGUUGGAGGGUUAUUCUUGUCUCUGUGGGUUUAGGAGCACUUUUAAUAAUUGUUGUGUCAGUCAACAUUUGGACAAAAGUAAAAGAGAACAAUGGACAAAAAGUAAAACCCUCAUUGCAGAAUGAUGACGCUGAUGAACGUGAUUUGAAGUAUGAAAAUGUUGAAGAAUGUCCUGUUUCUGUCACUCUCCUCUCAUCAAUGGUGUCAAAGUGAAGGAAAGAGGAUUUUUGACUCUUGACUGGUUGUAAAUAAUUUCAGGUACAACCUUUUAGUCAGGGUGUCCUGGCCAACAUCAGAUAUAAAAAAUAACUAAACUAAUUAGUUAAUGUCAUUGUAGCUUUUGUGCAUCACCAACAGCCUUCUGUAGAUCAGUGUCUUCACUUAUCUUAGAACAUUAUUAUUACUAAUGCUGAGGCUGGCUCAGCUUGCCUGCAAGCUGAAUUCUAGCGGUAUUUGUGCAUUCACAAACACGAGAAUCCAUCGUGUACCGCUCCAGCUUCAACCGUGUGUGUCAAAAACACAAACGGUUCAGGCCAAUCGCAUUGCAGUAUUAUGAUUUAAGGCGGUACAUACAGGUGUGACGAAAGGAAGAGCUGACGAGCCCACAGCCGAACCAACAUAAACAUGUCAGCGCAGGAGGACGCAUGUGUGGCUGCUGCUAUAUCUGUUUUGUCAGAAUCCACUGAAUCUCUAAUUUUUAUUUUUAUGUUUUUUGCUGUUCGUCUUUCAUUUUUGAAAGAAGAAAAGCAAGAAGUACUUUGACUAGCUUAUCUUGCUGGGGUUUCUCAUGACAUCUGCUGCUUACAUUUUACAUUUGAUGCUUUGAUUGGCAAAAACCAACCUUUGGUAGGCGGGUACAAAGUGUUUUGGAGAGUUCUGCUGAAUGUCCCUUCUUUCCCCAAACAAAUUCAAUGGGAGCAGUCCCAGAUUGAUGAUGUGCGUGCAUGAGUGCUGCAUCUUAUUAAUCUGGCUGAGCAGGUUAGAGGCUGGCUGUAUACAAGGAAAGAAGUGUCUGAUGUUCAACGUCAUUGGAAUUAAUCAAACUAUUUUUAUCUUGUGUAUGUAUCGGGGCAGGUUUGCUUUUCUGUAUGUUAUCCUGAGAGAAGUUUUGCUUUGCACUGGAUCUAUGUAAAUGAAUUGAACUGAAAUUAAGUGACUGGA